rnacentral:rRNA from 1 species
GAUGAAUGCUGGCGGCGUGCCUAACACAUGCAAGUCGAGCGGCAGCGAGGGGUGCUUGCACCCUGUCGGCGAGCGGCGAACGGCUGAGUAACGCGUAGGAAUUUGCCCCAAAGUGAGGAAUAACUGCCCGAAAGGGUAGCUAAUGCCGCAUAUGGUCUUCGGAUUAAAGGAUUUAUCCGCUUUGGGAGAAGCCUGCGUUGGAUUAGGUUGUUGGUAGGGUAAUGGCCUACCAAGCCGACGAUCCAUAGCUGGUCUGAGAGGAUGAUCAGCCAGACUGGAACUGAGACACGCUCCAGACUCCUACGGGAAGCAGCAGUGAGGAAUCUUCCACACUGCGCGAAAGCCUGAUGGAGCAACGCCGCGUGAAGGAUGAAGGCCUUCGGGUUGUAAACUUCUUUUAUGAGUGAAGAAUAUGACGGUAACUCGUGAAUAAGCACCGGCUAACUACGUG